GAGGACAAGCAAUAAUUUAGGUUUGGGGGUGGGAUAACUCUUGAAAAGAGAUGCAGGUAGGAUGAAAGAAAAGAGAAGCAAGAAAAGAGAAAAAGGAAAAUAGAAAGAAGGAUGUGAAACAUUGCAAUGGUAAAUGGUGGGACAAAUUGCCAAUAGAAAUGCCAUGGCAAUUCAAGGAAGAUGACGAAGGACUCAAUCCAUGUCACCCUUACCCAACUAUACGUGUACCAGAUAAAUCACCCUAAAAAGAAGAGUAAAAACUAUGUGCUAAGAGGGAUGGAUCUACCCUAUAAAAGGAGGAGAGAGAAGAGAAGAAAAACACACACGGAUUGUGAGGAGAAAAAUAAAAAAAGGGAGUAGUUACUCUCUCUGCAACAGAAUCUGGUGGAGUAAUUCUGAAGAGAAGAAGAAGGGGUAGCUAAAGAAUGGAGAC